rnacentral:rRNA from 1 species
UACGUAGGGUGCGAGCGUUGUCCGGAAUUAUUGGGCGUAAAGAGCUUGUAGGUGGCUCGUUGCGUCGGGCGUGAAAACCUGCGGCUUAACCGCAGGCCUGCUUCCGAUACGGGCGAGCUAGAGUUCGGCAGGGGAGACUGGAAUUCCUGGUGUAGCGGUGGAAUGCGCAGAUAUCAGGAGGAACACCGGUGGCGAAGGCGGGUCUCUGGGCCGAUACUGACGCUGAGGAGCGAAAGCGUGGGGAGCGAACAGG